rnacentral:rRNA from 1 species
UACGUAGGGUGCAAGCGUUGUCCGGAAUUAUUGGGCGUAAAGAGCUCGUAGGCGGUUUGUCGCGUCUGCUGUGAAAACUGGGGGCUCAACCCCCAGCCUGCAGUGGGUACGGGCAGACUAGAGUUCGGUAGGGGAGAUUGGAAUUCCUGGUGUAGCGGUGGAAUGCGCAGAUAUCAGGAGGAACACCGGUGGCGAAGGCGGGUCUCUGGGCAGUAACUGACGCUGAGGAGCGAAAGCGUGGGGAGCGAACAGG